CGCCUUGCCAGCCCGCUCAGAAACUCAAAGGAAUUGACGGGGCCCGCACAAGCGGCGGAGCAUGUGGAUUAAUUCGAUGCAACGCGAAGAACCUUACCUGGGUUUGACAUACACCGGAAAACCGUAGAGAUACGGUCCCCCUUGUGGUCGGUGUACAGGUGGUGCAUGGCUGUCGUCAGCUCGUGUCGUGAGAUGUUGGGUUAAGUCCCGCAACGAGCGCAACCCUUGUCUUAUGUUGCCAGCACGUGAUGGUGGGGACUCGUAAGAGACUGCCGGGGUCAACUCGGAGGAAGGUGGGGACGACGUCAAGUCAUCAUGCCCCUUAUGUCCAGGGCUUCACACAUGCUACAAUGGCCAGUACAGAGGGCUGCGAGACCGUGAGGUGGAGCGAAUCCCUUAAAGCUGGUCUCAGUUCGGAUCGGGGUCUGCAACUCGACCCCGUGAAGUCGGAGUCGCUAGUAAUCGCAGAUCAGCAACGCUGCGGUGAAUACGUUCCCGGGCCUU
rnacentral:rRNA from 1 species